rnacentral:rRNA from 1 species
GUGCUAGCCGCCGCGGUAAUACCGGCAGCCCGAGUGAUGGCCGAUCUUAUUGGGCCUAAAGCGUCCGUAGCUGGCCGCGCAAGUCCAUCGGAAAAUCUACCCGCCCAACGGGUGGGCGUCCGGCGGAACCUGUGUGGCUUGGGACCGGGAGGCCUGAGGGGUACGAUCGGGGUAGGAGUGAAAUCCCAUAAUCCCGCACGGACCACCGAUGGCGAAAGCACUUCGAGAAAACGGAUCCGACAGUGAGGGACGAAAGCCAGGGUCUCCAACCGGAUUAGAAACCCCGUAGUCC